rnacentral:rRNA from 1 species
UGCAGUCGAACGGCAGCAUGAUCUAGCUUGCUAGAUUGAUGGCGAGUGGCGAACGGGUGAGUAAUACAUCGGAACGUGCCCUGUAGUGGGGGAUAACUAGUCGAAAGAUUAGCUAAUACCGCAUACGACCUGAGGGUGAAAGUGGGGGACCGCAAGGCCUCAUGCUAUAGGAGCGGCCGAUGUCUGAUUAGCUAGUUGGUGAGGUAAAGGCUCACCAAGGCGACGAUCAGUAGCUGGUCUGAGAGGACGAUCAGCCACACUGGGACUGAGACACGGCCCAGACUCCUACGGGAGGCAGCAGUGGGGAAUUUUGGACAAUGGGGGCAACCCUGAUCCAGCAAUGCCGCGUGUGUGAAGAAGGCCUUCGGGUUGUAAAGCACUUUUGUCCGGAAAGAAAUCGCACUUACUAAUAUUAGGUGUGGAUGACGGUACCGGAAGAAUAAGGACCGGCUAACUACGUGCCAGCAGCCGCGGUAAUACGUAGGGUCCAAGCGUUAAUCGGAAUUACUGGGCGUAAAGCGUGCGCAGGCGGUUGUGCAAGACCGAUGUGAAAUCCCCGGGCUUAACCUGGGAAUUGCAUUGGUGACUGCACGGCUAGAGUGUGUCAGAGGGGGGUAGAAUUCCACGUGUAGCAGUGAAAUGCGUAGAGAUGUGGAGGAAUACCGAUGGCGAAGGCAGCCCCCUGGGAUAACACUGACGCUCAUGCACGAAAGCGUGGGGAGCAAACAGGAUUAGAUACCCUGGUAGUCCACGCCCUAAACGAUGUCAACUAGUUGUUGGGGGAUUCAUUUCCUUAGUAACGUAGCUAACGCGUGAAGUUGACCGCCUGGGGAGUACGGUCGCAAGAUUAAAACUCAAAGGAAUUGACGGGGACCCGCACAAGCGGUGGAGGAAGUGGGGAUUAAUUUCGAUGCAACGCGAAAAACCUUACCUACCCUUGACAUGCCACUAACGAAGCAGAGAUGCAUUAGGUGCUCGAAAGAAGAAAGUGGACACAGGUGCUGCAUGGCUGUCGUCAGCUCGG